AAAAACUGCAGAGAUGUUAUUAACCCAAAUUUCAAAGUCAUUUCGAGUCAAAAAUCUGUACUUUUCUUCUUAGGGUUAGCUUAAAACCUGAUGCGUUGGGUAAUUCUUCAUGAUGAUGAGCUGCUAGAAUUAGGACCUAUACAAGAGUGUUCUUCCUACUUAUGUGAAAUCACUUCAAAUUAUUUCAGAUGUUUGAUGUGCCUUUGACUUCUGAUAUCAUAAAAAGGAAAUGACCUGCUGUGAUACAGCACACAACAGCAAAUCUCCGUUCUUGGUAUGGGAGGUUCACUUCUGUUGUGAAAGGCAGCUCUAGUCAGUGUUGGAAUGAAAGCCAAAGCCUUCAGAAGCUGAGAGGUGCUGGAAAGGGACUGCACUGUUGUUUUCUCCACCCUCCCCCCCCCGCCCCCAAGAAAAACAGAGGAGGAUAUAAAACAAAAAGAGAGAUCUGCAUCCAGACAUCAUCGCACACUGCUACCUGUGGAAGAACUGCUGUUCUGAAUUGUUCUCAUUGACCUCUUUUGAGUCAGAAGGGACCCUUAGGGGUCAUCUGGUCCAACUCCCCUGCAAUGAACAAGGGCACGUACAGCUCAGUCAGGGUGCUCAGAGUCCCAUCCAGUCU
rnacentral:lncRNA from 1 species